rnacentral:rRNA from 1 species
UGCAGUCGAGCGGAACGAGUUAUCUGAACCUUCGGGGAACGAUAACGGCGUCGAGCGGCGGACGGGUGAGUAAUGCCUAGGAAAUUGCCCUGAUGUGGGGGAUAACCAUUGGAAACGAUGGCUAAUACCGCAUAAUGCCUACGGGCCAAAGAGGGGGACCUUCGGGCCUCUCGCGUCAGGAUAUGCCUAGGUGGGAUUAGCUAGUUGGUGAGGUAAGGGCUCACCAAGGCGACGAUCCCUAGCUGGUCUGAGAGGAUGAUCAGCCACACUGGAACUGAGACACGGUCCAGACUCCUACGGGAGGCAGCAGUGGGGAAUAUUGCACAAUGGGCGCAAGCCUGAUGCAGCCAUGCCGCGUGUGUGAAGAAGGCCUUCGGGUUGUAAAGCACUUUCAGUCGUGAGGAAGGUAGUGUAGUUAAUAGCUGCAUUAUUUGACGUUAGCGACAGAAGAAGCACCGGCUAACUCCGUGCCAGCAGCCGCGGUAGUACGGAGGGUGCGAGCGUUAAUCGGAAUUACUGGGCGUAAAGCGCAUGCAGGUGGUUUGUUAAGUCAGAUGUGAAAGCCCGGGGCUCAACCUCGGAAUUGCAUUUGAAACUGGCAGACUACA